rnacentral:rRNA from 1 species
UACAGAGGGGGCUAGCGUUGUUCGGAAUUACUGGGCGUAAAGGGCGCGUAGGUGGCCUGCUAAGUCGAACGUGAAAUCCCCGGGCUCAACCCGGGAACUGCGUCCGAGACUGGCAGGCUUGAAUCCGGGAGAGGGAUGUGGAAUUCCAGGUGUAGCGGUGAAAUGCGUAGAUAUCUGGAGGAACACCGGUGGCGAAGGCGGCAUCCUGGACCGGUAUUGACGCUGAGGCGCGAAAGUCAGGGGAGCAAACGGG